CUUCUGAAAUCUGGGAAGCAGCUGCAUGGCCUAAUACCUCAGGCCAGGGAUGCCAGCGAGGCAGCCUGUGCGCUGCCCUCCCCUUCACUGGACACUUUCGCAGGGCACGGACUGGCUCCCUACAAGCAACUCCAGCUGGGACAGAUCCCACAUGGGAGCUUGGCGGCUGGAGACAAGUGAACAAGUGGACCAUGCAUGGUGAUCAGAGGCUUACAUCGGGGGAGGAGACUGUCUCUUGCAGCAAACGUGUCAUUCAUUCCCAGAAUCAGUGGCUGUUUAUGUGCCAGGCCUUUGGUAAAAUCAAAUCCUCUCAGGGUCUCUAGCACAUUAAGCUUCUAUAUGCCUGUCUGUAUCCACAAGGUCCAAGGUGGUGUUUCCUGAGCUCCUUGGGCUUUUUUUGUCUUUUUCCUUUUUAUCGGUACCAGGGAUCGAACUCAGGUCUGCCUGCUUGCAAGGCAGGUGCUUAUGCCGCUGAGCUAAAUCCCCAGCCCGCUCCUUGGGCUUAAAGGGGUGACACAAGUCUCGUUCCAGUCCUUUGGCUAUAGUGCAGGUGGAUCUCCUGGGUCACCAGCUGUAACUUACUUUCCAUUUCUAUCUCUGCUAUUUCAAAAUGGAAGCAGGGUGAUUUUCAUUUUAGAAGCUAGAUAAGAAAACAGGUCUCAAAAACUUGUUUUGCUACCACAAAUCCUAAAACUAUGUCUUUGUUUUCUCAUCUGUCAGAACAGAAGCAUUCUCCAUUUUGGAGAGACGUAGAUGGGUCUCAUCUGAAAGGCUGGAAGGGUCAACCAGCUCAGCUCAUGAAAUGACCACAGAAGAAUGAUAUUGGUGAUUCAACAAAACUUUCAGAAGCCUAAGAUCUACUCAGUUUGAUCAACUUGGAUGGACAACAGGCAGACAUGGUUUCUGUCCUCAUGGAGGUGCUCAGGCUAGAGGAGGGACAAUUGCUGAUCUAACCAACAGUCACAGAGGAAGGUUUGGCACCACUGGAAAAGGAGCAACUAAGGUGUGGAAGGCACAAGAAAAAAGCACAGCAUGUGCUCUGCAGGCACCAUCAGCUUCUGGGGGAGGAAGGAGGCGGCCACAUGGAAGCAGGACUGUCAAGCUGCAGGGCCCGGAGUGUCACCCACGAGGCGCAGAUCCUGGAAGGCUACUUUGAAAAACAUGAAGGCAGAGUUUGAACACAAGAAGAUGAGAGACAGUAGGCCAGAUCUUAGUGUGAGAGAUCAACAAAGUUCCUCCUCUGUGUGCAGUUUCUUCCUCUAUCAAACGAAAGAGAAAUGGUAAGCCAGUUCAUCGACUUCUAUUCUUUGAUCCCAUUUCUUCCUGUUAAGAAAUUACUCACUUGGGGCCUGGGGAUUUAGCUCAGCGUCAUAAGCGCCUGCCUUGCAAGUGUGUGGUUGUGAGUUCGAUCCCCGGUACCGAUAAAAAAAAAAAAAAAAAAAAAAAAAAAAAAAAAAAAAAAAAAAAAAAACCCAAAAGGUAAAAAGAAAUUACUCACUUUCCCA